GACGAACGCUGGCGGCGUGCUUAACACAUGCAAGUCGAACGGAAAGGCCCUGCUUUUGUGGGGUGCUCGAGUGGCGAACGGGUGAGUAACACGUGAGUAACCUGCCCUUGACUUUGGGAUAACUUCAGGAAACUGGGGCUAAUACCGGAUAGGAGCUCCUGCUGCAUGGUGGGGGUCGGAAAGUUUCGGCGGUUGGGGAUGGACUCGCGGCUUAUCAGCUUGUUGGUGGGGUAGUGGCUUACCAAGGCUUUGACGGGUAGCCGGCCUGAGAGGGUGACCGGCCACAUUGGGACUGAGAUACGGCCCAGACUCCUACGGGAGGCAGCAGUGGGGAAUAUUGCACAAUGGGCGGAAGCCUGAUGCAGCAACGCCGCGUGCGGGAUGACGGCCUUCGGGUUGUAAACCGCUUUCGCCUGUGACGAAGCGUGAGUGACGGUAAUGGGUAAAGAAGCACCGGCUAACUACGUGCCAGCAGCCGCGGUGAUACGUAGGGUGCGAGCGUUGUCCGGAUUUAUUGGGCGUAAAGGGCUCGUAGGUGGUUGAUCGCGUCGGAAGUGUAAUCUUGGGGCUUAACCCUGAGCGUGCUUUCGAUACGGGUUGACUUGAGGAAGGUAGGGGAGAAUGGAAUUCCUGGUGGAGCGGUGGAAUGCGCAGAUAUCAGGAGGAACGCCAGUGGCGAAGGCGGUUCUCUGGGCCUUUCCUGACGCUGAGGAGCGAAAGCGUGGGGAGCGAACAGGCUUAGAUACCCUGGUAGUCCACGCUGUAAACGGUGGGUACUAGGUGUGGGGUCCAUUCCACGGGUUCCGUGCCGUAGCUAACGCUUUAAGUACCCCGCCUGGGGAGUACGGCCGCAAGGCUAAAACUCAAAGGAAUUGACGGGGCCCCGCACAAGCGGCGGAGCAUGCGGAUUAAUUCGAUGCAACGCGUAGAACCUUACCUGGGUUUGACAUGGAUCGGGAGUGCUCAGAGAUGGGUGUGCCUCUUUUGGGGUCGGUUCACAGGUGGUGCAUGCCUGUCGUCAGCUCGUGUCGUGAGAUGUUGGGUUAAGUCCCGCAACGAGCGCAACCCUUGUUCACUGUUGCCAGCACGUUAUGGUGGGGACUCAGUGGAGACCGCCGGGGUCAACUCGGAGGAAGGUGGGGAUGACGUCAAGUCAUCAUGCCCCUUAUGUCCAGGGCUUCACGCAUGCUACAAUGGCUGGUACAGAGAGUGGCGAGCCUGUGAGGGUGAGCGAAUCUCGGAAAGCCGGUCUCAGUUCGGAUUGGGGUCUGCAACUCGACCCCAUGAAGUCGGAGUCGCUAGUAAUCGCAGAUCAGCAACGCUGCGGUGAAUACGUUCCCGGGGC
rnacentral:rRNA from 1 species